rnacentral:pre_miRNA from 1 species
GAAAUACUCCCUCCGUCCGAAAAUACUUGUCAUCAAAAUGGAUAAAGAGGGAUGUAUCUAGAACUAAUAUACAUCUAGAUACAUCCCCUUUUAUUUAUUUUGAUGACAAGUAUUUCCGGACGGAGGGAGUAGCUU